GUUUGAUUUUGAUGUAUUUUUCUAGCAGAUUGUUAAGAUAUGCGGUGAUACCAUGCUAAAUGCAUUACUGGAAUAGACCCAUGCCAAAUUUGAAGUUGAGGGGCUGUUUCAGGUGCAGAAUUCAGUGCCCUGCGUGCACACCCUCCAUGUUGGCUUUUGCAGUGGAUGGGAUCCGUAAACUAUACGGCUUUAGGUCCAGUAAUGGGUGUCAGAUGUUCAGCAGUGGAUGACAGGACCAACCAAUCAAAAUGACUUGCAGGACGCCAUUGAUGGACUCUUUUUGAGCAUUAAGCAGCAAACCCUUCAGCUGUAUCGUCAGACUGGCAGUGCUGAGGCAUUUACGGAGACGGGAAGUGAGGGUCUUCCCUGCGUGCUCAAGAGAAGAUUGCACAAAGUUCAAGCUUAGCAGGCUGCAGCUGGUCUGACAUAUUCUGGAACGGCAACAAUGUCUUUGGAUGACUCCUCCUCUGAAGAGGAAAACAUCAAUCAAUCAAUCAUUGUUUAUUGUCAUUACCAGAGUACAGGUACAAGGCAACGAAAUGGAAAGAACAGUUUGGUUUCAAAGAUUACAGCAUAAC